GACGAACGCUGGCGGCGUGCUUAACACAUGCAAGUCGAACGGAAAGGCCCUGCUUUUGUGGGGUGCUCGAGUGGCGAACGGGUGAGUAACACGUGAGUAACCUGCCCUUGACUUUGGGAUAACUUCAGGAAACUGGGGCUAAUACCGGAUAGGAGCUCCUGCUGCAUGGUGGGGGUUGGAAAGUUUCGGCGGUUGGGGAUGGACUCGCGGCUUAUCAGCUUGUUGGUGGGGUAGUGGCUUACCAAGGCUUUGACGGGUAGCCGGCCUGAGAGGGUGACCGGCCACAAUGGGAAUGAGAUACGGCCCAGAAUCCUACGGGAGGCAGCAGUGGGGAAUAGUGCACAAUGGGCGGAAGCCUGAUGCAGCAACGCCGCGUGCGGGAUGACGGCCUUCGGGUUGUAAACCGCUUUCGCCUGUGACGAAGCGUGAGUGACGGUAAUGGGUAAAGAAGCACCGGCUAACUACGUG
rnacentral:rRNA from 1 species